rnacentral:rRNA from 1 species
UUGGGAAUAUUGCACAAUGGGCGAAAGCCUGAUGCAGCGACGCCGCGUGAGGGAUGACGGCCUUCGGGUUGUAAACCUCUUUCAGCAGGGACGAAGCGCAAGUGACGGUACCUGCAGAAGAAGCACCGGCUAACUACGUGCCAGCAGCCGCGGUAAUACGUAGGGUGCAAGCGUUGUCCGGAAUUACUGGGCGUAAAGAGAUCGUAGGCGGUUUGUCGCGUCGUUUGUGAAAACCAGCAGCUCAACUGCUGGCUUGCAGGCGAUACGGGCAGACUUGAGUACUGCAGGGGAGACUGGAAUUCCUGGUGUAGCGGUGAAAUGCGCAGAUAUCAGGAGGAACACCGGUGGCGAAGGCGGGUCUCUGGGCAGUAACUGACGCUGAGGAACGAAAGCGUGGGUAGCGAACAGG